rnacentral:rRNA from 1 species
GGGGAACUCAGGGAACUGAAACAUCUAAGUACCUGAAGGAAGAGAAAGAAAUUCGAUUCCGUAAGUAGCGGCGAGCGAACGCGGAUUAGCCCAAACCAAUAAAGUUUUCUUUAUUGGGGUUGCGGACAUAUCAUAACGAAGAGGGAUCGUAAUUGAAGAGGUUUGGAAAGACCCACCACAGAAGGUAAUAGUCCUGUAUGUUAAACGAGAAGACUUUAGAUAUGAUCCAGAGUA